AUUGAACGCUGGCGGCAGGCCUAACACAUGCACGUCGAGCGAGUGGCGGACGGGUGAGUAAUGUCUGGGAAACUGCCUGUUGGAGGGGGAUAACUCCUGGAACCGGUAGCUAAUACCGCAUACCCUCAGAUGUGCCCAGAUGGGAUUAGCUUUUUGGUGGGGUAACGGCUCACCAAGGCGACGAUCCCUAGCUGGUCUGAGAGGAUGACCAGCCACACUGCAACUGAGACACGGUCCAGACUCCUACGGGAGGCAGCAGUGGGGAAUAUUGCACAAUGGGCGCAAGCCUGAUGCAGCCAUGCCGCGUGUAUGAAGAAGGCCUUCGGGUUGUAAAGUACUUGCAGCGGGGAGGCGUUACCCGCAGAAGAAGCACCGGCUAACUCCGUGCCAGCCGCCGCGGUAAUAC
rnacentral:rRNA from 1 species